ACUGCUCAGUAACACGUGGCUAACCUACCCUCAGGACGAGGACAACCCCGGGAGACUGGGACUAAUACUCGAUAGGCGAGGAGGCCUGGAAUGGUUUCUCACCUAAAAGGCUUUGGAAACAUGCUUUUAACGUCGCCUGAGGAUGGGGCCGCGACCGAUCAGGUUGUUGGUGAGGUAAUGGCUCGCCAAGCCUAUAACCGGUACGGGCCGUGAGAGCGGUAGCCCGGAGAUGGGUACUGAGACAAGGACCCAGGCCCUACGGGGCGCAGCAGUCGCGAAAACUCCGCAAUGCACGAAAGUGUGACGGGGCUACCCCGAGUGCCUUCCGCUGAGGAAAGCUUUUCCUUGGUGUAACUAGCCAGGGGAAUAAGGAGAGGGCAAGACUGGUGUCAGCCGCCGCGGUAAUACCAGCUCUCCGAGUGGUAGGGAUGGUUAUUGGGCUUAAAGCGUCCGUAGCCGGCUUAGCAAGUUUCCUGUUAAACCCAGCGACUCAAUCGUUGGAUCGCGGGAAAUACUACUAGGCUAGGAGGCGGGAGAGGUCGACGGUACUUCUGGGGUAGGGGUGAAAUCCUAUAAUCCCGGGAGGACCACCAGUGGCGAAGGCUGUCGACUAGAACGCGCUCGACGGUGAGGGACGAAAGCUGGGGGAGCGAACCGGAUUAGAUACCCGGGUAGUCCCAGCCGUAAACGAUGCGGGCUAGGUGUUGGGAUGGCUACGUGCCAUUUCAGUGCCGCAGGGAAGCCAUUAAGCCCGCCGCCUGGGGAGUACGAUCGCAAGAUUGAAACUUAAAGGAAUUGGCGGGGGAGCAC
rnacentral:rRNA from 1 species